rnacentral:rRNA from 1 species
GACGAACGCUGGCGGCGUGCUUAACACAUGCAAGUCGAACGGAAAGGCCCUGCUUUUGUGGGGUGCUCGAGUGGCGAACGGGUGAGUAACACGUGAGUAACCUGCCCUUGACUUUGGGAUAACUUCAGGAAACUGGGGCUAAUACCGGAUAGGAGCUCCUGCUGCAUGGUGGGGGUUGGAAAGUUUCGGCGGUUGGGGAUGGACUCGCGGCUUAUCAGCUUGUUGGUGGGGUAGUGGCUUACCAAGGCUUUGACGGGUAGCCGGCCUGAGAGGGUGACCGGCCACAUUGGGACUGAGAUACGGCCCAGACUCCUACGGGAGGCAGCAGUGGGGAAUAUUGCACAAUGGGCGGAAGCCUGAUGCAGCAACGCCGCGUGCGGGAUGACGGCCUUCGGGUUGUAAACUGCUUUCGCCUGUGACGAAGCGUGAGUGACGGUAAUGGGCAAAGAAGCACCGGCUAACUACGUG